AGAUAUGGAAUACGCUCCUGAAAUGCAGAUGUCCAUAUAUGUGGCUGCGGAAGCCCUCCCACCCCAACCGGCUCCUUAUCCUCCAAGGCAACGGAGGCGUGCAAGGCCACCAAUUUACCGUACCCAUGUCACCCUUUUUGGGAUGCCUGAUGAUCUUGUUGGUAUGUCUCAGGGCAAUUUUAGUAAGGUACUGCGACGAGUCCUGGAUGCUUUCCUCACCAGAGUGAAGCAGUUCAUAUCAAUGCCUUUGGAAGCUGGUGCCCUGGCUGUGGUGAAGCGGCAAUUUCAGGAAGGUGGUAGUCGCUUCCCACACGUAAUUGGGGUUGUGGAUGGGACAUAUGUUGCCAUUGUUGCGCCAAAACAUAAUGAAGAAAUAUAUAGAAACAGGAAACUGUUUCAUUCUCUGAAUGUCAUGGUUGUUGUGGCCCAUCCCUCCAGAUCCUGUCCCUGAAUGCUAUGUUCCCCGGCAAUUCCCGUGACUCACAUGUGAUUAGGCAAUCAGGGAUCUGGCAAAGAUUAAGAAUGAUGGAAGGCCAAGACAUGUGGCUAUUGGGAGAUCGUGGAUAUCUUUGCACCCCCUGGCUCAUGACUCCUUACAGCAAACCCAGGCCAGGGCCACAGUCGGCAUUUAAUUCCGCGCUUACUGCCACUAGACAGCUGGUGGAGCGCACGAUUUGGGUUCUUAAAGGGCGGUUUCGUGUGCUCCACCGCACUGGUGGCGACAUCAUGUAUUUGCCGGAAAUGGUAAGUAAAAUCGUGAUCCUGUGCGCUAUCCUACACAAUAUUGCUGUAAGGAGUCGGCUGGAGCUUCCGCAGUCGGAGGAAUUGCUGGAUGAGGUGCCAGGGGUUGGCCGGCCUUCCGUGGUGGUUCUGAAAGUCAGCGGGGUCACGCCGUCAGGGCUAGAAUUGUCCAGGAGUAUUUCAGGUAUGAUUAUGUUAUGAGAGCACUAUAGAUAAAAUGCUGCAUAAAUUUAUUAAUCUGUGUUCACGGUUUACGUGUAGGUUUUGCCUACACAAAAUUGUAAUCGUGGAUUUUUUUGAUAACAUUGUAAAUGUUUCAGUGUUUUUCUUGUUUUUGUGUUCUGAGUAGUUUAAUAAGUGGCUGUGAACAGAUUAUUGAUGUAAUGCUAGCAAUCACAUCUGUAUUGAGAUGUUAUUUUGUACAUCAUUGGGAUUAGUGUCCCAUUUGGCUUGUUUAUAUUCAGUUGUGCAAACUUAUUUCAACCUAUUUUUUUUUUCCUGUUUUUUUUUUUUUUGGUUGAUUAAUUAAAAAAAAAAACUUUU